AUGGACAAGAGUUGGAUGGAUAAAGCUAGAAAUACACAAGCAUAUAUAGAUGGGGUAGAGAAAUUCAUAGAUUUUGCUUUUACGCAUUCAGCAAGAGGGAACACUAUACUAUGUCCUUGUGGAAUUUGCUUGAACUGUUGUUGGUUUGAAGCUAAUGUUGUCUAUGAGCACUUGUUGUGUGAUGGGUUUAUUAAUGGGUACAAACGAUGGAUAUAUCAUGGGGAGGCAUCAUCAUCUCUUGCAUCCGAGAGUGACCAUGAUGAGGUUCAACCUGAUGAUUUUCAAGAGGAGAUUGACUUAGAUGACUAUGAUGAGAUGCUUGAAAUGAUUCAAGAUAUAGCACAUCAAAAUGGGGAUUUUAGUGAUGGUACUAGUGGGGAGGAUCCAAGUCACCAGGAUGCAGAGCCUGAGGGCGUUGACCCUCUUCUAGAGAAGAAAAAGAAGAAGGAUGAAGAUACUUUCCGAUAA
rnacentral:rRNA from 1 species